rnacentral:rRNA from 1 species
CAGUCGCCGCGGUAAUACAGAGGGUGCGAGCGUUAAUCGGAUUUACUGGGCGUAAAGCGUGCGUAGGCGGCUUCUUAAGUCGGAUGUGAAAUCCCUGAGCUUAACUUAGGAAUUGCAUUCGAUACUGGGAAGCUAGAGUAUGGGAGAGGAUGGUAGAAUUCCAGGUGUAGCGGUGAAAUGCGUAGAGAUCUGGAGGAAUACCGAUGGCGAAGGCAGCCAUCUGGCCUAAUACUGACGCUGAGGUACGAAAGCAUGGGGAGCAAACAGGAUUAGAGACCCCUGUAGUCCCUGUCUCUUAUCC